CCAAUAGCGUAUAUUAAAGUUGUUGCAGUUAAAAAGCUCGUAGUUGAAUUUCGGGAUUAGUACGUUGGUCAUGCCUUGGUACGUACUGGUGUAACUGAUUCCUCCCUUCUGACGAACCGUUAUGCCAUUAAUUUGGUGUGGCGGGAAAUCAGGACUGUUACUUUGAAAAAAUUAGAGUGUUUAAAGCAGGCUCGCGCUUGAAUACAUUAGCAUGGAAUAAUGAAAUAGGACGUUAAUCCUAUUUUGUUGGUUUCUAGGAUCGACGUAAUGAUUAAUAGGGAUAGUUGGGGGCAUUAGUAUUCAAUUGUCAGAGGUGAAAUUCUUGGAUUUAUUGAAGACUAACUACUGCGAAAGCAUUUGCCAAGGAUGUUUUCAUUAAUCAAGAACGAAAGUUAGGGGAUCGAAGACGAUCAGAUACCGUCGUAGUCUUAACCAUAAACUAUGCCGACUAGGGAUCGGAUGAUGUUAAUUUUUUAAUGACUCAUUCGGCGCCUUACG
rnacentral:misc_RNA from 1 species